rnacentral:rRNA from 1 species
CUAAAGAUUCAUCGCUGAUAGAUAGGCAUGCGUUCCAUUAGGCAGUUGGCGGGGUAACGGCCCACCAAACCGACGAUGGAUAGGGGUUCUGAGAGGAAGGUCCCCCACAUUGGUACUGAGACACGGACCAAACUCCUACGGGAGGCAGCAGUGAGGAAUAUUGGUCAAUGGGCGUAAGCCUGAACCAGCCAAGUCGCGUGAGGGAUGAAGGUUCUAUGGAUCGUAAACCUCUUUUAUAAGGGAAUAAAGUGUGGGACGUGUCCUGUUUUGUAUGUACCUUAUGAAUAAGGAUCGGCUAACUCCGUGCCAGCAGCCGCGGUAAUACGGAGGAUCCGAGCGUUAUCCGGAUUUAUUGGGUUUAAAGGGUGCGUAGGCGGCCUUUUAAGUCAGCGGUGAAAGUCUGUGGCUCAACCAUAGAAUUGCCGUUGAAACUGGGAGGCUUGAGUAUGUUUGAGGCAGGCGGAAUGCGUGGUGUAGCGGUGAAAUGCUUAGAUAUCACGCAGAACCCCGAUUGCGAAGGCAGCCUGCCAAGCCAUGACUGACGCUGAUGCACGAAAGCGUGGGGAUCAAACAGGAUUAGAUACCCUGGUAGUCCACGCAGUAAACGAUGAUCACUAGCUGUUUGCGAUACACUGUAAGCGGC